rnacentral:lncRNA from 1 species
CUAUGGCCAUCAAGAAGUGCAGCCAUGAAAGAAAUCCCUUUUGAAACCUAUUAUCCCAGUGGUAUCUUGUUCCAUUAUAGCUCUAAAAAAAAAAUCAGCAUUCUUUGGAAAUGUGCUGAAUGUGAGGAAAAUGGAACAUUCUUCCCCAUCUGCUGGAAAUACUCUAAAUGGUUGAACUUGCUGGAAGGAACUCAGCAGGAGCCAGGAACUGCUGCUUCCCAGGGGACAAGAUCCCACCACCAUACCGUCAAUAGCUCAUCUGUAUGUGAGGAUCUCUGAUUCUGGGGAAGAUCUACAUUUUUUUUCCAUACUUUUAUACACCAGCAAGACAAUGUACUCCUACACCAGUCUGGGAAAUACGAGUGAGAGAACAAAACAGAAAAGAAAUCACAAAACAUACCAAGCUCUAUUCUUGGAAGUUAAAGUUUGACUACAAAUAUUCACAACAGAAUUUCAAGUAACAAUGACAAUUUCUACAUUGGGGCCUUGGCUCUAAAAUAAAUGGUUCACAAAUUAGUGAAAGAGAUGCUCUCAGACUAAGAUUCAUAUGUCUCUGGAUUAUCUCUUAAAGCAAGCUUUCAGUGCUAUUGGCACUAUGGAAGAGUUUCAAUACUGACAAACUGGGCUUGAUUAUGCACAACCACCAUCAUUUUUGUUUGCUAAAUUAUGACUACAAAGCACUUGUUAUGCCAUGUUGGUAAGGAACUCUGUCACUUUGGAUUUUUGGAAGAAUUUGAUUUGUUACAUAGCUAAGUGAUAAUAUAAAUUGAGGACAAAAGUAUUUUUAGGUCAUUAACUUUCUCCUAAAAUAAUUCUUAAAAUGAACUAUUUUGACAGACUUAUGCUGGAAAACUUGUAAAUACAACAGGCAUUCUGCUAAAGGGAGCAGAAUUAACAGGAAACAGGAAAAUACAUGAAUGUGAAUUUGGCAAUGGCAAAGGACAAAAAGAUCAAGAGGAGAUAAAAGAAAGGAAAAGCUCUUUACAAAUGGUAAAGAAUGGUAAAUAAAUGGUAGGGUAGUGGAAGAAGAGAAGAUAGAUCAGUAAGACCAGAAAUGUAAAAUACAAAGUAGAUCCUCAAAGGCAGUGACGGGCAAAGAUUCUUACCUGUCUCUUUGUACCAUAUAUGAAGUCACCACAUGAAUUGGUUAAUACGAUCAUUACUAUUUCUUUGACUUUUUUAGUGAAUGCAUAAGUUUCCUAGGUGCUUUUUCACCCCAGAUAUUAAUUAUUUAGUCUUGUAGCUGAUUGAAGCUAUAUAUAUAUAUAUAUAUAUAUAUAUAUAUAGUAUAUUGUCACAGAAAUUAGAAAUUAUUACCAAAAGCCAAUAUUCUCCUUUGUUCUCUUUUGUUCUGUUGAUUACUUUAUGCACUAUACAAUUUAAUGUAAAAAAUCCUAUAUUACUUUCUGCAUCUCUUAGUCGCUUGUUUACACACACAUAUACCUGGUAUGUUUAAUUUUGUUGCUGCUUUUUCAAUUUUUCUUAUUCUGAGGUCUUCAUUUCUUCAUCACACAGAGUUGUCACUCUUUCUCACAAAGCAUUCAUUUUGGUGACAUUAUCAGUAAAGUACUCAGGACUGAAUAUAUUUUACCAUGUCUACAUUGCUCUGAAUAGUGUUAGCCAAUUUAACAAUAAGGCAGCCGUCAGUGAGGAAUUAUCUUAACACUAACUUAUCUUCAGUGUUAGUGAUGAGAAUGUGCUUCCGUGUGAAUUCCAGUCUUUACUUGUAGCAAC